rnacentral:lncRNA from 1 species
AUGGCUAAGGGAGCUGGGUCUUAUCUUGACAGGCUGGGACAGGCUGUAUUGGCAAAAGCAGUCUUAGUAAAAGAUCCCAAAAGCGUGUGGCAUCUCCUAUUGGCUCAGUUUGAAUUAAAGCAAACCUUAUCCUUGACUUCACAUGCUUAUGCUUUCUGAAAACCCUUAAGUCUCUUCUUAUAUAUUGUAAACUCUGUCUUGAUUAAUGUAACACGAUUUGAUGAGUCUCUCUCUCUAGUUCAUCAUGAUAAUCUCAUACACUUUCUCUUAAACAUUCUAAUCUCUCUUGAAUCUCUCUUAGACUUCUCAAUACCUUUCUUAUUCUCUAAAAUCAUACACCACAACUCAAUGCAAGAUCAGAUCAUCCCAUUGGGAUCAAACCAAGAUCAUCCAUCCUGUUUGAUCACCAAUGCCACAAUACUAUAUGAUACUUGAAACAAGCUAGACAAUCAAGGCAAGAAUAAACAAUGACAAUGUAUGCUUUCAACAAUACACUGAUCUUUUAGGUUCAAUUCAGUUUUUUUUUUUUUUUUUUUUAAAUGCAACACUAGAUGAAUGCAUUAGGUUACACACUAACUAUAUGAAUGAAACAGAUUCAAUUCAAAUGAAACACAAGUCUUAGAUGAUACUUAUGCAAUCAAGACGACAAGAGUGACUCAAUUCAUGCUUAUUGCUCACUAGUUUUAUCAUAGCCAAUGAUUCAAGUAGCUUAGACAUACUUCUAAAUGCUUAUAAGACAUCACUGAUGGAUUUAACUAUGGCAUAGCAACAAUCAGAACUGGACUGAGUCAAGACAAGUAGAUUUCAAUCUCUAACAAUGACAAUGCAAGUUCUAGACAAUACAUUGACAUCCUAGGUUAUUAUUAUUAUUAAGUUCUCUAAAUGCAAUGCAAGCUUACAUCAGUACAUUUGCAAUUUAGGCUCAUCUUUAAAUGCAUUACGACAUGAAUGCACAAUCUUAAAGCAUUAGCUAUAUGAAUGCAACAGGUUCAAUCCAUUAGUAAUAUUAAAGCUCUGCACAACAGUUUCAAUCAGAAUCAAUGAUGCAAGCAACUUAGACAAUUUCUAAUUGAUGCAAGACUUUCAUUGAUGGAUUAAACAUAGGCAAUAGCAUCAGAUAACACUAGGAUUGAACUUAGACAGUAUGAGAUAUGCUUAUGUAUGCAAAAUAACUUAUCAAUCAUGAUGCAAGCAGCAGAGACAUUCUACUCAAUUCUACAACACAUUCAUGAUGAUUCAAGCUAUGACAACACCCAAGACAAUGCAAUGAACAGAACAUGAGAUUCUGGGACUCUAGACAUUACUUACUACCAAUAAGACAAUGCAGCAGCAAAACAAUUUCAGUGCAAUUAGCCUAGACAUUCUACUAGAAGCUAUACACUCUUAAUGGAAUUAGGGAAAUCACAUAGUAUAAUCAGGAGAUAAACCUAUCAAGACAUAUUAAGAUAGAUGAGAUUAGGUUUACUCCCUUGUUUAAGAUGAUGAGGAGUGGUUCUCAAAGUUACCACUUGAAUCCUUACUUCUCCUUCUUCUCUUAUUGCAAUCACCCUUCUGAAUUCACCACCAUGAUGGAAUGCUUGUGGAUUCUUCAGCUACUUCUUCAAUCACCUCACAAUAGAAGCCGCCUUGAUAGAGUAGCCUUCUUCUUAACACAGCCAAGAGUGCUCUGUCUUAGUUUGAGCACCCUCUUGAAUAGGCACGCCACUGCCUAGACCCGGUUGGCUUCUUCUUCAGUUACUUGCAAUGGUAGAGGAAGACCAGUGAGCUUCAAGUGAGUUUUACAACCAUCUGCGCUUCACCCUUCUUGUAAUAACUCUCCAUUGAACACACAAUGGGCACCAUUCUUUCUCUUUCAACUCGGAUUUGAUGA